rnacentral:lncRNA from 1 species
CAGAAAAGGACCCGGCCUUGUCACAUCUAGGUCGCUUGUCUGCACAAGAGAUUUACAGUGUUUCCUGAGACUUCCAUUUAUUUGCACGUAACUCCACUCACUGGCAAAGCAAUGCAGCGGUGACCAGGGCGAGUCCACAGGAGAAAGGAGAUGAUGA